GUGCUUGCUUCAGCAGCACUUAAGCUAAAAUUGGAACAAUACAGAGAAGAUUAGCAUGGUCCAUACACAAGGAUGACAUACAAAUUGGUUAAAACCAGAGCAGAAAU